AAUUAAGAAAAAAGAAAAACAUGGUAAUUUAGUGAGAUACUAUCAGUAAUUUUCUGUACCAUUUCAUCCUGUUUUCUCAAGCCUUGUCAUCAUUGUAAAUGGGAAUUGGUUCUCAACUGAUUUUACCUGGUUAAAUAAAGGUCAAAUAAAA